CAUUAUUCUCUCCCCAUGCUUCACAACUAUAGUUCAUAAACACAUCUUAAGCACAUUGUAGCCUCCUCAACCACAACCUUAAUCAUGUACUCCUCGUCAAAAUCCUCUGGCUGAGCAAAACCUAAAUACCUUAGCUGACAUUCCAGAACUUUCACAAGGUUCCGUCCCCCUUGCUAACAAACCUUGUCCUUCCUUGCUACAUUCUGUGCUUACCUCGCUGACCCACCCACCAAGCACGGCACACUGCAGCCUCCCUCUUCUUGGCCACAACAUUCUCUCAGUCUCACUUCUCCACCAGCCUAACUCCUAUUCUUUAUCUUCAAAAGUCAGAGCACUGUAGCCCCCUCAUCCGCGGGGGAAUACAUUCCAGGACUUCCGAUGGAUGCCUGAAACCACGGUACCAAACCCUGAAUAUACCAUGGUCCCCCCCCCCCCCAUACAUACAUACCUACGGUGAAGUUUCACUUAUAAAUUCGGCACGAGUAUCCUACUCUACUCACUCUUCUUGUGAUGACGUGAGCUAGUUAAAUGCCUGCCCGCCUGAUGAGAUGAAGCGAGGUGACGGACGUGGGCUUUGGGACGCAGGGCUUGAGCUGCCUCCAUGAGCCUCCAGAUCUACAGAGAGCUCCUGACCUAUGAAACCAUGAUCCUGAAGGCUGGCCUCAGACGUGGAACUUAGGGAAAGUUUGGUUCUAUUUGCAAGGUGAGAGAGUGAAGGCAGACUGAGAAACAACGUGUGGACCCACCGAAGAGAGCAGGAGGCAUGGAUGGCAAAGCCCAGAGGAGGUGACGAGGGAAAAGACCCAGAUUUGAGGGAGAGAGUGGCCACAGGCGGAGACAAAGGGAAGAAGCCUAGAGUAUAGGACAACUAGUCUGAGAUUUCCUGCAGACCCCAGCUGGAAGUGAAGCCUGGCCCAGAAGUCUCCAGAUAAAACAUAGGUUUUAUUCUCUGCUUCAGAUUCUGUGUCUCCCUCUCUCUCUGCCCACCCCCACUCACGCUCUCCCUCUCUCUCUCAAAAAUAAAUAAACAUUAAAAAAAAUAUUUUUAACGUAGGU